rnacentral:rRNA from 1 species
GACGAACCGAGCGAACGUUGUUCGGAAUCACUGGGCUUAAAGGGCGCGUAGGCGGGCAAUCAAGUCUGUGGUGAAAUCCGGCAGCUCAACUGUCGAAUUGCCGUGGAUACCGGUUGUCUCGAGGGAGGCAGGGGUGCGCGGAACUGAUGGUGGAGCGGUGAAACGCGUUGAUAUCAUCAGGAACUCCGGUGGCGAAGGCGGCGCACUGGUCCUCUUCUGACGCUGAGGCGCGAAAGCCAGGGGAGCAAACGGG